GACGAACGCUGGCGGCGUGCUUAACACAUGCAAGUCGAACGGGAUCCAAAGGCUUUUUGUUUUUGGUGAGAGUGGCGAACGGGUGAGUAACACGUGAGUAACCUGCCCCCUUCUUUUGGAUAACCGCAUGAAAGUGUGGCUAAUACAGGAUAUUCCAGGCUGGUCGCAUGAUUGGUUUGGGAAAUGGUUUGGUCUGGUGGGGGAUGGGCUCGCGGCCUAUCAGCUUGUUGGUGGGGUGAUGGCCUACCAAGGCGGUGACGGGUAGCCGGCCUGAGAGGGUGGGCGGUCACCCUGGGGAUGGGAUACGGCCCAGACUCCUACGGGAGGCCGCAGUGGGGGAUUUUGCACAAUGGGCGGAAGCCUGAUGCAGCGACGCCGCGUGAGGGAUGAAGGCCUUCGGGUUGUAAACCUCUUUCGCUGGGUUGAAAGGCCAUGCUUUGGGUGUGGUUGAUUUGAACUGGUAAAGAAGUACCGGCUAACUACGUG
rnacentral:rRNA from 1 species